rnacentral:rRNA from 1 species
UACGUAGGGUGCGAGCGUUGUCCGGAAUUAUUGGGCGUAAAGGGCUCGUAGGCGGUUUGUCGCGUCGGGAGUGAAAACCUCGGGCUUAACUCGGGGCUUGCUUUCGAUACGGGCAGACUAGAGGUAUGCAGGGGAGAACGGAAUUCCUGGUGUAGCGGUGAAAUGCGCAGAUAUCAGGAGGAACACCGGUGGCGAAGGCGGUUCUCUGGGCAUGAUCUGACGCUGAGGAGCGAAGGUGUGGGGAGCGAACAGG